UCACGACAUUUGCAGCAAUUAACGUAGUGUGAAAAUCUAUUCAACCACUUCUCAAACGUUAACUCCGAUCUUAAAAUCAAGUUCCACAGAGACUUCAAUCUUGCGCCUGCAACAGACACAAUUUAACACCUGAUAUCUGCUCUGCUGCAAUUGGUGUUAAUAACAAUGAGAGAAGAGGGAAAUUUGCAAUUCAAACUGCAGGUGCUUCUUAAACAAGUUAAGAUACUCCUAGAAACAUCGUGGUUGCAUUUAUGGCUGACUAAAUUUGGUUUUAAUUGCAAUGGGUUGACUGGAUUUGGUUUGCUAUGUGAAUAAUUCAAUGUAUUCUUGAUGAUAACUUAAGAUGUGAUGAGAAUUCAGCGGGUAUAAAUACAGGUUUGUAAGGGGAGAUCGUCCGCCAUGAUUCAAGUUGGAACGUUGUAACGCCUUUAUGUAUUCUUACCUGUCGGUAAGGCCCCUCCUUUGGAUGUACUUACUCGUACAUGCUGUAGUAACAAUCGCACAUGAUCCGUCCGACUUAUUCUUAUCAGUAUAGGGGUUUGGUUCGAGAUACCUGGCUGUAGCCAAGUCAAACAGCUUCUCUACUUGUGUGUGUUUCUUUGUAGUUUCCUCCUUGUUUUUAUUGUAUAGUUUUAUUUAAAUUACUAUGCACUUACAA